CACACCCCCUACCUCCCUGCCUACAUUCCACCCAGCCUGACUGCUCUGGAAGGAAGAAUCCCUGCAAGGUGAGUGUUAUUAUAUCCAUUUGUGGACCAGGACUGCGGCUCAGAAGCUUUUCCCAGGACACUGAACUCUGACAGGUGAAUAGCUGCCAAGUGGUGGAGGUUGGCCUGCAGUGAGCAUCAGUCUGACUUCGAAGGGUCUUGUUUUAUCACCUAGGCUGGAAUGCAGUGGAACCUGCUUAGCUCACUGUAGCCUUGAACUGCUGGGCUCAAGCAGUCCUCCUGUUUUGGCCUCUGAAGCAACUGGGACUACAGGUAUUGGCCUGGAGUGAUUCCAAGCUCUCCUGGAACAGGAGGUGCCCCCACUCUGGGCAUAAAUAUCUCUCCCUCAUCCCUCGCAGACAACGAUCUUUGAGUACCAUCCAGUCAUAAUAUAGACAUGGCCAAGGUAACGGAGGACAGAAUGACACAUGGUACAAGCUUUCUGUCUUACUGCCACACGUCAGUGUCCUGGGAGAUGAACCAGAUGCAGCUCCCUGAUGAAUGUGGGAAUAAAAAUUUAUAUCAGAAUCGACACUGGUUAUAAUGUGAAUUUAUGACAUUACUUGAGAAUAUUCAAUUCUGCUGUAGAGGACAAAAAAAAUGGAAUAAUGAAAUCCAUCAUAAACCCUGGGCAUAGUUGCCACCUCAGACCACCUCCUGACUCCAAGUUUCCCUGCUCAUCAAUCCAAAAUUUUGUUGAAUAUACUACUUCCCCACCCCCAAUGGAGCUUAAGGGUUAACCUGAACUCUCUAAACCAAUCAGGGCAUUCCUACUGUCUUUGAUCGUGAGUGUUGUAGGCAGAGACAUAUAACCCAAUCCUUGCUAAUGAGACUUGAGGUAGGACCCCAGCUUCCGGAGAGGUUGCCUGGCUCCUAAAAAGAGAAAGAUACCGGAAAAGAGAUGGACUCUUCUACCACUGGAAAUCAGAUGGUGUCCUGAGUGACAUAAGUGUACUUACAACAGCCAUUUUGCAACCAUAAAGAAGCCAGUGGGAAUACACAGGCUACGUGUCCUCGAAGGCACAGAAGAAAGAAGAGAGAAAACUAUAUUCUUGAUGACACAGUUGAGCUACAGAAUUGUCCAACCCCGGAGGUGCCCCACUUCGCGUUGUGGGAGAUAAUGCAUUUUCCUUGCUGUUUAAACCACUUUGAGCUGAGUUUUCUAUUACCAGCAGCCUAAAGCAUUUUGACAGAUAAAAGUAGAUACAAAUGCACAUAUAUAAUGAGCAUCCUGACUGAACGAUUAAAUGUGUAUGUAGGCAUGCAUUACCUCCCCACUCCAUUUAUGAUUGUCACAUUUAUUUUUACUUCAGGGAAAAGCAACUAUAGAAUUUAAAAAAUCAGGAUUGAAAACAAAUACCUGAAUUUCCUACAAUUAAAAAAUCAAUCCAUUAAGUAGUGGUAUUAUGCUAAAAUAAAAUGAAUGCUUAGAAAUUUGUUAAGUGUUUAUGAUGUAAUAAGACAUCAAAUAAACCAUUUUUCUUUAAGUUCUUUAAUAAAAAAAAUCUGAUGUGGAGUCCAGUCUUUCAUUUUUAUCACUGGAAUAAAUAGAGAAUAGUCAUUGCAAUCAAUUGCCUGUUUGUUUCCCCAGAG
rnacentral:lncRNA from 10 species